UUCGGGCGGGGAUUAGUGGCGAACGGGUGAGUAACACGUGGGCAAUCUGCCCUGCACUCUGGGACAAGCCCUGGAAACGGGGUCUAAUACCGGAUAUGACCGUCUGCCGCAUGGUGGAUGGUGUAAAGCUCCGGCGGUGCAGGAUGAGCCCGCGGCCUAUCAGCUUGUUGGUGAGGUAGUGGCUCACCAAGGCGACGACGGGUAGCCGGCCUGAGAGGGCGACCGGCCACACUGGGACUGAGACACGGCCCAGACUCCUACGGGAGGCAGCAGUGGGGAAUAUUGCACAAUGGGCGAAAGCCUGAUGCAGCGACGCCGCGUGAGGGAUGACGGCCUUCGGGUUGUAAACCUCUUUCAGCAGGGAAGAAGCGAAAGUGACGGUACCUGCAGAAGAAGCGCCGGCUAACUACGUGCCAGCAGCCGCGGUAAUACGUAGGGCGCAAGCGUUGUCCGGAAUUAUUGGGCGUAAAGAGCUCGUAGGCGGCUUGUCACGUCGGUUGUGAAAGCCCGGGGCUUAACCCCGGGUCUGCAGUCGAUACGGGCAGGCUAGAGUUCGGUAGGGGAGAUCGGAAUUCCUGGUGUAGCGGUGAAAUGCGCAGAUAUCAGGAGGAACACCGGUGGCGAAGGCGGAUCUCUGGCCGAUACUGACGCUGAGGAGCGAAAGCGUGGGAGCGAACAGGAUUAGAUACCUGGUAGUCCACGCCGUAAACGGUGGGCACUAGGUGUGGGCAACAUUCCACGUUGUCCGUGCCGCAGCUAACGCAUUAAGUGCCCCGCCUGGGGAGUACGGCCGCAAGGCUAAAACUCAAAGGAAUGACGGGGGCCCGCACAAGCGGCGGAGCAUGUGGCUUAAUUCGACGCAACGCGAAGAACCUUACCAAGGCUUGACAUACACCGGAAACGUCUGGAGACAGGCGCCCCCUUGUGGUCGGUGUACAGGUGGUGCAUGGCUGUCGUCAGCUCGUGUCGUGAGAUGUUGGGUUAAGUCCCGCAACGAGCGCAACCCUUGUCCCGUGUUGCCAGCAGGCCCUUGUGGUGCUGGGGACUCACGGGAGACCGCCGGGGUCAACUCGGAGGAAGGUGGGGACGACGUCAAGUCAUCAUGCCCCUUAUGUCUUGGGCUGCACACGUGCUACAAUGGCCGGUACAAUGAGCUGCGAUACCGUGAGGUGGAGCGAAUCUCAAAAAGCCGGUCUCAGUUCGGAUUGGGGUCUGCAACUCGACCCCAUGAAGUCGGAGUCGCUAGUAAUCGCAGAUCAGCAUUGCUGCGGUGAAUACGUUCCCGGGCCUUGUACACACCGCCCGUCACGUCACGAAAGUCGGUAACACGCCGAAGCCGGUGGCCCAACCC
rnacentral:rRNA from 1 species